rnacentral:rRNA from 1 species
AGGGCGCAUGGUGGAUGCCUUGGUACAGAGGAGCGAUGAAGGACGUGGUAAGCUGCGAUAAGCUUCGGGUAGGUGCAAACAACUGUUAAUCCGGAGAUGUCCGAAUGGGGUAACCCGAUACGGGUAAUGCUGUAUCACUCCCGGUUGAAUAUAUAGGCCGGGUAGAGCGAACGGGAUGAACUGAACCAUCUUAGUAAUCCCAGGAAAAGAAAACAAUAGUGAUUCCCAAAGUAGCGGCGAGCGAAAUGGGAACAGCCUAAACCGCAGUCAGUUCUGGCUGCGGGGUUGUGGGGUCCCAGCAUGGAGUGAUAAAUCAGCAUCAUAGCGGAAUUUUCUGGAAAGUGAAGCCGCAGAGGGUGACAGCCCCGUAUGCGAAAUGACGCUGACUCCUAGGGAUACCCCGAGUACCACAGGACACGUGAAAUCCGGUGGGAAUCUACGAGGACCACCUCGUAAGGCUAAAUACUACUCUGUGACCGAUAGUGAACUAGUACCGUGAGGGAAAGGUGAAAAGUACUCCUAUUAGGAGAGUGAAAUAGUACCUGAAACCGUGUGCCUAUAAGCGGUCAAAGGCUCCUUUUGGAACUUCGGUUCUGAAAGGGCUGAUGGCGUGCCUUUUGCAUAAUGAUCCAGUGAGUUACUGGUCUGUAGCAAGGUUAAGCAGUUAUACUGCGGAGCCGUAGCGAAAGCGAGUCUGAACAGGGCGAUAUAGUUGCAGGCCGUAGACCCGAAACCGAGUGAUCUACCCUUGGUCAGGAUGAAGCACGGAUAAAACCGUGUGGAGGUCCGAACCAGGACUGGUUGAAAACAGUUUGGAUGAACUGAGGGUAGGGGUGAAAGGCCAAUCAAACUCGGAGAUAGCUGGUUCUCCCCGAAAUAUAUUUAGGUAUAGCCUUGUGUUAUAGAGUGCCGGAGGUAAAGCACUGAAUGGGCUAGGGGCCUUACCAGGCUACCAAACCCAAUCAAACUCUGAAUGCCGGUCACUUGUUUCACGGGAGUCAGGCAGUGGGGGAUAAGCUCCAUUGCCGAGAGGGAAACAACCCAGACCAUCAGCUAAGGUCCCUAAGAUAUGCUCAGUGAUAAAGGAUGUAAAGUCGCAAAGACAGCCAGGAUGUUGGCUUAGAAGCAGCCACCAUUUAAAGAGUGCGUAACUGCUCACUGGUCAAGUGGUUUUGCGCCGAUAAUUUCCGGGACUAAGCAUAUCACCGAAGCUAUGGAAUUGUAAAAUUGGUAGGGGAGCGUUCUGUUAUAGAGUGAAGGUGAGCCGUAAGGCUUGCUGGACGAACCAGAAGUGAGUAUGCUGGAAUGAGUAGCGGUAAAUGCGGGUGAAAAACCUGCACACCGAAAAUCUAAGGUUUCCUGGGGAAGGUUAAUCCGCCCAGGGUUAGUCGGGUCCUAAGCCGAGGCCGUCAGGCGUAGGCGAUGGAAAACAGGCAAAAUAUUCCUGUACCACCAGUAGCGUGUUUGAGUGAUGGGGUGACGCAGAAGUGAAGGCCAGCCGGCGAUUGGAAGUGCCGGUUCAAGCAGGUAGGGGGAAGUUCUAGGAAAAUCCGGAGCUUCGUAACCCUGAGAUGUUAUAAGGAGGGCGUUAGCCCGCAAACUGGUCGUAAUCAUGCUGCCAAGAAAAACCUCUAAACGAAUGGUACUGGUGUCCGUACCGUAAACCGACACAGGUAGAUAAGGAGAGAAUCCUAAGGUGACUGAGAGAACCCUCGUUAAGGAACUCGGCAAAAUGGCUCCGUAACUUCGGAAGAAGGAGCGCCUCAGAGUAUGUGAUCAGACUUGCUCUGUGAGCAGAAUGAGGUCGCAGAGAAUCGGCCUGGGCGACUGUUUACUAAAAACACAGGUCUCUGCUAAAUCGUAAGAUGAUGUAUAGGGACUGACACCUGCCCGGUGCUGGAAGGUUAAAAGGAGGGGUCAGCCGCUUCGGCGGUGAAGCUCUGAAUUGAAGCCCCAGUAAACGGCGGCCGUAACUAUAACGGUCCUAAGGUAGCGAAAUUCCUCGUCGGGUAAAUUCCGACCUGCACGAAUGGUGUAACGACUUGGGCGCUGUCUCAACGAGGGUCUCAGCGAAAUUGUAGUUCCGGUGAAGAUGCCGGAUACCCGCAGUAGGACGGAAAGACCCCGUGAACCUUUACUACAGCCUGACAUUGGGUUUUGGUAUAGUAUGUAGAGAAUAGGUGGGAGACUAUGAAGUGGGGGCGCCAGCUUUCAUGGAGUCACCAUUGGAAUACCACCCUUGUUAUAUUGGAAUUCUAACCAUGUACCUUGAAUCAGGUACUGGAACAUUGUCUGGUGGGUAGUUUGACUGGGGCGGUCGCCUCCUAAAAAGUAACGGAGGCGCCCAAAGGUUCCCUCAGUGCGGUCGGUAAUCGCACGUAGAGUGUAAAGGCAUAAGGGAGCUUGACUGCGAGACUUACAAGUCGAGCAGGUGCGAAAGCAGGGCUUAAUGAUCUGACAGUAGCGCGUGGAAGCGCUGAAACUCAACGGAUAAAAGGUACUCCGGGGAUAACAGGCUUAUCUCCCCCAAGCGUCCAUAGCGACGGGGAGGUUUGGCACCUCGAUGUCGGCUCAUCGCAUCCUGGGGCUGGAGAAGGUCCCAAGGGUUUGGCUGUUCGCCAAUUAAAGCGGUACGCGAGCUGGGUUUAGAACGUCGUGAGACAGUUCGGUCCCUAUCCACUGUGGGCGUCAGGAAAUUUGAGGAAAGCUGUCCCUAGUAUGAGAAGACCGGGAUGGACGAACCUCUGGUGUACCAGUUGUUCCGCCAGGAGCAGUGCUGGGUAGCUAUGUUCGGAAGGGAUAACCGCUGAAAGCAUCUAAGUGGGAAGCCUAUUCCAAGAUGAGAUUUCCCUAUCAGGACCCAUGAAGACUACGUGGUUGAUAGGCCGUAGGUGUAAGUACAGUAAUGUAUUCAGCCGAGCGGUACUAAUAGUCCGAUCGACUUAACC